rnacentral:tRNA from 1 species
GGGAAUGUAGCUGAAUGGUAGAGUGCUUGCCUAACAUGCAUGAAGCCCUGGGUUCGAUUCCUCAGUACCA